rnacentral:lncRNA from 1 species
CCAGCAGUGCUUGUUGCUCUUGAGUACACACACAGAAAACAUACAGUUAAAUGAACAAAUAAAGGAAGGACCAAACAGGUAGUAGAAGACAAAGACACUUGACAGACUUCAGGAACAGAAGCAAUGAUGAAGGACAAAGUCUUCUACUGCUGUGGGGCCACAGUUGGCUCUUCAGUUCGGGAGUUUCUUCGGCCUGGGAUUUUGGACUUUUCAACUAUCUCUUUGGGCUCACUGCUGACAGAGG